CACAACACCAGUACUAUCAAUGCUACUAAGUGGACUCACAUUUCCGCUUGGAGGCAGUGAUGCAUCCCAAAUACAUUCUUUCUCUUCGGAAUCAGGAGGCAGACUGGUUUCUGUGUUUUGAGAAGGACGAGGAACUGUAAAUGGAGAGGAGAUUACACCUAGAUCAUUUGGCUCUUCAACCAAGCUCUCUGCCGGUGAAAGAAGGGAUGGGCUUGGUUUCACAUUUGGCAUCCGGAUUGAAAGAUCGUCCAAGAAAGGACCCUUCAAAGAUACGUUUUUCACCAGACAUUUCCCAUCUGCUUUGUUUUGACCAAUUGGUACAUACACUGGUCUCAUUAGGUCUGUAUCAACAGGUUCCGG
rnacentral:misc_RNA from 1 species